GGUGAUCUAGCCAUGGGCAGGUUGAAGGUUGGGUAACACUAACUGGAGGACCGAACCGACUAAUGUUGAAAAAUUAGCGGAUGACUUGUGGCUGGGGGUGAAAGGCCAAUCAAACCGGGAGAUAGCUGGUUCUCCCCGAAAGCUAUUUAGGUAGCGCCUCGUGAAUUCAUCUCCGGGGGUAGAGCACUGUUUCGGCAAGGGGGUCAUCCCGACUUACCAACCCGAUGCAAACUGCGAAUACCGGAGAAUGUUAUCACGGGAGACACACGGCGGGUGCUAACGUCCGUCGUGAAGAGGGAAACAACCCAGACCGCCAGCUAAGGUCCCAAAGUCAUGGUUAAGUGGGAAACGAUGUGGGAAGGCCCAGACAGCCAGGAUGUUGGCUUAGAAGCAGCCAUCAUUUAAAGAAAGCGUAAUAGCUCACUGGUCGAGUCGGCCUGCGCGGAAGAUGUAACGGGGCUAAACCAUGCACCGAAGCUGCGGCAGCGACGCUUAUGCGUUGUUGGGUAGGGGAGCGUUCUGUAAGCCUGCGAAGGUGUGCUGUGAGGCAUGCUGGAGGUAUCAGAAGUGCGAAUGCUGACAUAAGUAACGAUAAAGCGGGUGAAAAGCCCGCUCGCCGGAAGACCAAGGGUUCCUGUCCAACGUUAAUCGGGGCAGGGUGAGUCGACCCCUAAGGCGAGGCCGAAAGGCGUAGUCGAUGGGAAACAGGUUAAUAUUCCUGUACUUGGUGUUACUGCGAAGGGGGGACGGAGAAGGCUAUGUUGGCCGGGCGACGGUUGUCCCGGUUUAAGCGUGUAGGCUGGUUUUCCAGGCAAAUCCGGAAAACUAAGGCUGAGGCGUGAUGACGAGGCACUACGGUGCUGAAGCAACAAAUGCCCUGCUUCCAGGAAAAGCCUCUAAGCAUCAGGUAACAUCAAAUCGUACCCCAAACCGACACAGGUGGUCAGGUAGAGAAUACCAAGGCGCUUGAGAGAACUCGGGUGAAGGAACUAGGCAAAAUGGUGCCGUAACUUCGGGAGAAGGCACGCUGAUAUGUAGGUGAAGUGCCUCGCUCGUGGAGCUGAAAUCAGUCGAAGAUACCAGCUGGCUGCAACUGUUUAUUAAAAACACAGCACUGUGCAAACACGAAAGUGGACGUAUACGGUGUGACGCCUGCCCGGUGCCGGAAGGUUAAUUGAUGGGGUUAGCGCAAGCGAAGCUCUUGAUCGAAGCCCCGGUAAACGGCGGCCGUAACUAUAACGGUCCUAAGGUAGCGAAAUUCCUUGUCGGGUAAGUUCCGACCUGCACGAAUGGCGUAAUGAUGGCCAGGCUGUCUCCACCCGAGACUCAGUGAAAUUGAACUCGCUGUGAAGAUGCAGUGUACCCGCGGCAAGACGGAAAGACCCCGUGAACCUUUACUAUAGCUUGACAC
rnacentral:rRNA from 1 species